GAUAUGACUCAGGAUAAACGCUGGCGGCGCACAUAAGACAUGCAAGUCGAACGGACUUAAUCGAAAUAUUUAUAUUUUGAAGCGGUUAGUGGCGGACUGGUGAGUAACGCGUAAGGAACCUGCCUAUUAGAGGGGAAUAACAGUGAGAAAUCAUUGCUAAUACCGCAUAUGCCAUAGAUAUCACAUGAUAACAGUGGGAAAGGAGCAAUCCGCUAAUAGAUGGCCUUGCGU
rnacentral:rRNA from 1 species